rnacentral:lncRNA from 1 species
UUGAUAACCAUUAUCCUGAAAAUAAAAUUUGUCAGUUUUUUAAGUUCCAUCCUGUGAUCUUUCCUUCUAUAGUUAAAAAUCAGGCUUUGAGUAAGGCUAGAUUAGUUUUCACUGAUGGUUCUUCUAAGGGAUACCCUGUGGUCCUUUCAGAGGGCGAGGUGGAGAAAAUGAUGCUUGAUUCCACCUUGGCACAGUUGGCUGAAUUAAAGGCCCUUCCUUUGGCGCUAUCUUUGUUUCCUGAAGAGCCCUGCAAUAUUUAUACAGAUAGUGCUUAUGUAUCUAAUAAUAUUUUACAGUAUAUAUCUGCAAUAUCCUGACAUUUAUUUUCAGGCUAUACAUUGGAUAUAGCGUAUUUUUCUGAAGCAUACACAGUGUUCAGUGGUGCACUGUACAGACCC